CAUUGCUGCUGCUACCUGCUUUCCAGAGCCUUUCAUCAAUGAAGGAAAGCGGCUGGGCUAUAUCCAUCGAAAUUUUGCUGGAAACAGAUUUUCUGAUCACGUAGCCCUUUUGUCAGUAUUCCAAGCCUGGGAUGAUGCUAGAAUGGGUGGAGAAGAAGCAGAGAUACGUUUUUGUGAGCACAAAAGACUUAAUAUGGCUACACUAAGAAUGACCUGGGAAGCCAAAGUUCAGCUCAAAGAGAUUUUGAUUAAUUCUGGGUUUCCAGAAGAUUGUUUGUUGACACAAGUGUUUACUAACACUGGACCAGAUAAUAAUUUGGAUGUUGUUAUCUCCCUCCUGGCCUUUGUAGCCAAGACAUGAAGUACCCAUCUCCCUUCUUUGUAUUUGGUGAAAAGAUUCGAACUCGAGCCAUCUCUGCUAAAGGCAUGACUUUAGUCACCCCCCUGCAGUUGCUUCUCUUUGCCUCCAAGAAAGUCCAAUCUGAUGGGCAGAUUGUGCUUGUAGAUGACUGGAUUAAACUGCAAAUAUCUCAUGAAGCUGCUGCCUGUAUCACUGGUCUCCGGGCAGCCAUGGAGGCUUUGGUUGUUGAAGUAACCAAACAACCUGCUAUCAUCAGCCAGUUGGACCCCGUAAAUGAACGUAUGCUGAACAUGAUCCGUCAGAUCUCUAGACCCUCAGCUGCUGGUAUCAACCUUAUGAUUGGCAGUACACGGUAUGGAGAUGGUCCACGUCCUCCCAAGAUGGCCCGAUACGACAAUGGAAGUGGAUAUAGAAGGGGAGGUUCUAGUUACAGUGGUGGAGGCUAUGGCGGUGGCUAUAGCAGUGGAGGCUAUGGUAGCGGAGGCUAUGGUGGCAGCGCCAACUCCUUUCGGGCAGGAUAUGGUGCAGGUGUUGGUGGAGGCUAUAGAGGAGUUUCCCGAGGUGGCUUUAGAGGCAACUCUGGAGGAGACUACAGAGGGCCUAGUGGAGGCUACAGAGGAUCUGGGGGAUUCCAGCGAGGAGGUGGUAGGGGGGCCUAUGGAACUGGCUACUUUGGACAGGGAAGAGGAGGUGGCGGCUAUUAAAACUUGGUUAUGUCAGUUCCUGUGUGUAGACAGUAAGGAAAAAAAGGCAUGCUAUGUGUUACGUGUUUUUUCCAGUAUGUUUAUUUGCCACCAAAAAGUAAAUGCAUUUUCACCCAUUCUGUGGUUCAUUGUAGUUUAAGGAAACCAAGCAAAUAGAUGCAUUAGUGAUUUUGUUUAUAUUAUGUAAAAUAUAACGAUCUCUUAAAAAUACCACAGUUUGUAUUUUUUCUUUAAGGAGUAAAGAUUUGCCUUUAAAUAACUUGGUAUUUUCCUGGCUUUCGUUUAAUACAAUAGAAAAUAAAGUAUUACACCG
rnacentral:sRNA from 1 species